AGAUUGAGCGCUGGCGGCAGGCCUAACACAUGCAAGUCGAGCGGUAGAGAGGUGCUUGCACCUCUUGAGAGCGGCGGACGGGUGAGUAAUGCCUAGGAAUCUGCCUAGUGGUGGGGGAUAACGUUCGGAAACGGACGCUAAUACCGCAUACGUCCUACGGGAGAAAGCGGGGACCUUCGGGCCUCGCGCCAUUAGAUGAGCCUAGGUCGGAUUAGCUAGUUGGUGAGGUAAUGGCUCACCAAGGCGACGAUCCGUAAUGGUCUGAGAGGAUGAUCAGUCAC
rnacentral:rRNA from 1 species